UUUUAACCAGGUUUUCCGAAGGAAAAAACUGGUUAUUAGAUUGGCGAAUGCGGGCGGGCUGGCUGGCUGGCUGGCGGGCUGGCUGGCUGGCGGGCUGGCGGAAUAAGCUUGUCCGGGCCAUAACUAUGUCGUUCAUUGUCAGAUUUUAAAAUCAUUUGGCACAUUUGUUCACCAUCAUUGGACGGUGUGUCGCGCGAAAUAAUUACGUCCAUAUCUCCAAGGUCAAGGUCACACUUUGAGUUCAAAGGUCAAAAAUGGCCAUAAAUGAGCUUGUCCUGGCCAUAACUAUGUCAUUCAUUGUGAGAUUUUAAAAUCAUUUGGCACAUUUGUUCACCAUCAUGGGACGGUGUGUCCCACGAAAGAAUCACGUCAAUAUCUCCAAUGUCAAGGUCGCCACGACUAAAAAUAGAUUUAAAAAAAAAAAAAAAACUUACAAAGGGGGUUAAUUUUUUUUGGUCAUUUCAAAA